rnacentral:rRNA from 1 species
GACGAACGCUGGCGGCGUGCCUAAUACAUGCAAGUCGAACGCAGUGGGGACGGGUGAGUAACCCGUGGGUAACCUCCCAUCAGAGGGGAUAACACUUGGAAACAGGUGCUAAACCGAUACUGAUGGAUGGACCCGCGGUGCAUUAGCUAGUUGGUGCGGUAACGGCUCACCAAGGCCACGAUGCAUAGACGACCUGAGAGGGUGAGAGGCCAAACGGGGACGGAGACACUGCCCAGACUCCCACGGGAGGCAGCAGUAGAGAAUUUUGGGAUAUUGACGAAAGGCUGACCGAGUGACGCAGCGUGAGUGAAGAAGGGUUUCGGAUCGUAAAACUCUGUAGUUAGAGAAGCGGUAUCUAACCAGAAAGCCACGGCUAACUACGUGCCAGCAGCCGCGGUAAUAC